AGGAUGGCAAGAUUUAUCGAUGGG
rnacentral:miRNA from 1 species